rnacentral:rRNA from 1 species
GAUGAACGCUGGCGGCAUGCCUAAUACAUGCAAGUCGAGCGAUGAGAUAAGCAGCUUGCACCUUAUUCGAUAGUGGCGAACGGGUGAGUAACACGUGGGGAACCUGCCUAUGAGACUGGGAUAACAUUGGGAAACGGGAGCUAAUACCGGAUAAUAUUUCGAACCGCCUGGUUCGAUAACGGAAGAUGGCUUUUCUUUUCCUUAUAGGUGGACCCGCGCCGUAUUAGCUAGUUGGUGAGGUAAAGGCUUACCAAAGCGGCGAUACGUAGCCGACCUGAGAGGGUGAUCGGCCACACUGGAACUGAGACACGGCCCAGACUCCUACGGGAGGCAGCAGUAGGGAAUCUUCCGCAAUGGGCGAAAGCCUGAUGGAGCAACGCCGCGUGAGUGAAGAAGGUCUUCGGAUCGUAAAGCUCUGUUAUUAGGGAAGAACAUAUGUGGAAGUAACUGUGCACGUUUUGACGGUACCUAAUCAGAAAGCCACGGCUAACUACGUG